rnacentral:snRNA from 1 species
AAUGUGGAGAGAUUUAGAAAAGAU